rnacentral:rRNA from 1 species
CUAAAAAAUAGGUCUCAGUACGGAUCUAGGCUGNAACCCGCCUGCGUGAAGUUGGAAUUGCUAGUAAUCGCGGAUCAGCAUGCCGCGGUGAAUACGUUCCCGGGCCUUGUACACACCGCCCGUCACACCAUGGGAGCCGGUAAUGCCCGAAGUCAGUAGCCUAACCGCAAGGAGGGCGCUGCCGAAGGUAGGAUUGGCGACUGGGGUGAAGUCGUAACAAGGUAUC